rnacentral:lncRNA from 1 species
UGGUAUGCGAAACUGAGAUUGAUUCAGAAGAAAAGUUUCUGUCAAUGGGAUCUGAAAAAAACGUCAAAGUGAUAUUUAAUGUCAAUGAAAAUAGAGAUAUAGAAGAACCCUUGACUGGAAUGCAUAUGGAAAAAAUGAAUGAUAUUGAAAACAGAUAUGUAGUUAUUUUAACAACACCAAGUCGAAUGUAUCAGUUUGUUGGAAAUGCAUCUAUUGAGGUUGCAAGUUUUCAAAAUGUUCUUUCUGUUUUUAAUCCAGACCCUA